CGAGGGGAGUGAAAAAGAACCUGAAACCGUGUACGUACAAGCAGUGGGAGCACGCUUAGGCGUGUGACUGCGUACCUUUUGUAUAAUGGGUCAGCGACUUAUAUUCUGUAGCAAGGUUAACCGAAUAGGGGAGCCGAAGGGAAACCGAGUCUUAACUGGGCGUUAAGUUGCAGGGUAUAGACCCGAAACCCGGUGAUCUAGCCAUGGGCAGGUUGAAGGUUGGGUAACACUAACUGGAGGACCGAACCGACUAAUGUUGAAAAAUUAGCGGAUGACUUGUGGCUGGGGGUGAAAGGCCAAUCAAACCGGGAGAUAGCUGGUUCUCCCCGAAAGCUAUUUAGGUAGCGCCUCGUGAAUUCAUCUCCGGGGGUAGAGCACUGUUUCGGCAAGGGGGUCAUCCCGACUUACCAACCCGAUGCAAACUGCGAAUACCGGAGAAUGUUAUCACGGGAGACACACGGCGGGUGCUAACGUCCGUCGUGAAGAGGGAAACAACCCAGACCGCCAGCUAAGGUCCCAAAGUCAUGGUUAAGUGGGAAACGAUGUGGGAAGGCCCAGACAGCCAGGAUGUUGGCUUAGAAGCAGCCAUCAUUUAAAGAAAGCGUAAUAGCUCACUGGUCGAGUCGGCCUGCGCGGAAGAUGUAACGGGGCUAAACCAUGCACCGAAGCUGCGGCAGCGACGCUGAUGCGUUGUUGGGUAGGGGAGCGUUCUGUAAGCCUGCGAAGGUGUGCUGUGAGGCAUGCUGGAGGUAUCAGAAGUGCGAAUGCUGACAUAAGUAACGAUAAAGCGGGUGAAAAGCCCGCUCGCCGGAAGACCAAGGGUUCCUGUCCAACGUUAAUCGGGGCAGGGUGAGUCGACCCCUAAGGCGAGGCCGAAAGGCGUAGUCGAUGGGAAACAGGUUAAUAUUCCUGUACUUGGUGUUACUGCGAAGGGGGGACGGAGAAGGCUAUGUUGGCCGGGCGACGGUUGUCCCGGUUUAAGCGUGUAGGCUGGUUUUCCAGGCAAAUCCGGAAAAUCAAGGCUGAGGCGUGAUGACGAGGCACUGCGGUGCUGAAGCAACAAAUGCCCUGCUUCCAGGAAAAGCCUCUAAGCAUCAGGUAACAUCAAAUCGUACCCCAAACCGACACAGG
rnacentral:rRNA from 1 species